AGAGUUUGAUCCUGGCUCAGGAUAAACGCUGGCGGCGCACAUAAGACAUGCAAGUCGAACGGAAGUCGUUAUAAAAGGGGAGAAGAUUUAUCGGAUUGAAUUUUAUAACAUGGCUUUAGUGGCGGACUGGUGAUUAACGCGUAAGGACCUACCUAUUAGAGGGGAACAACAAUGAGAAAUCAUUGCUAAUACCGCAUAUGCCAUAACUCCGCAUGGUAGAAGUGGGAAA
rnacentral:rRNA from 1 species